GUGGCGAACGGGUGAGUAACACGUGAGCAAUCUGCCCUUGACUCUGGGAUAACUGCGGGAAACUGUAGCUAAUACCGGAUACUUUCCUCGCUGGGCAUCCAGCGGGGAAGAAAGAAUUUCGGUCAAGGAUGAGCUCGCGGCCUAUCAGCUAGUUGGUGAGGUAAAGGCUCACCAAGGCGACGACGGGUAGCCGGCCUGAGAGGGUGACCGGCCACACUGGAACUGAGACACGGUCCAGACUCCUACGGGAGGCAGCAGUGGGGAAUAUUGCACAAUGGGCGAAAGCCUGAUGCAGCAACGCCGCGUGAGGGAUGAAGGCCUUCGGGUUGUAAACCUCUUUUAGCAGGGAAGAAGCGAAAGUGACGGUACCUGCAGAAAAAGCACCGGCUAACUACGUGCCAGCAGCCGCGGUAAUACGUAGGGUGCAAGCGUUGUCCGGAAUUAUUGGGCGUAAGGAGCUCGUAGGCGGUUUGUCACGUCUGCUGUGAAAAUCCGAGGCUCAACCUCGGACUUGCAGUGGGUACGGGCAGGCUAGAGUGCGGUAGGGGAGAAGGGAAUUCCUGGUGUAGCGGUGGAAUGCGCAGAUAUCAGGAGGAACACCAAUGGCGAAGGCACUUCUCUGGGCCGUAACUGACGCUGAGGAGCGAAAGCGUGGGGAGCGAACAGGAUUAGAUACCCUGGUAGUCCAC
rnacentral:rRNA from 1 species